CUUCUAGGACGCUUGAUUUUAUUAAUGCGAUUAUACUUCCGGGAGGCUAGGGUUCGCUGAAGCGAUCGGUCGCUAAAAUCAACUAAUCUAAAGUCAUACAAAACGCCUUUAAAUCGACAUAAAUACUUCAUAUUAAUGUGGUAACAACGCUGAUAGCACCAUUGAACGAUGGUGGAGCAAAACGAAACAAACCUUAUGCUUGAAACAAACCGUAGUCGCGUCGGAGAAAACGGAAGUUAAUAGCAUUUAGGCUAGCGGACAAUCGGCGCUAACUUUAGCUUCAGCUUUAUUUAAGUUGCAAUGAGUGGACCGGAUAACACAAACAUCAGGAGCAGGCCCCCGGUAGUGGUCGAGUCCCCGGCAUGCAGCAGCCGAUUUCAGUCCAGAUUUUGCUCUCAGCUUGGGAACAUUGACCCUCUGCUGGCUGCUCCGGCUAUGGCUAGAGUCCGUUUCCUGCAACAGAUGAGGAAGCAAAACAAAGCUGGUUCGGCAUAGGAGGAUUCUUUCACUUCGCCAUCUGGUUAAGUAGAAGUGAGACUGUAGACUUAGCUUGGAUUAGUUAGUUCUCCGAGCCCGGUCAGGUCCUGUAGACGAAGAGCAUUUCCCCCUCUUGUUGCUUCAUUGAAGCGACAGCAAAUGAGUUUCACAGAAAGCACAUUUACUCAGCUUGGGAGCCAUUUUGAGGCCCAUGAGGGUGCAUGUGUCACAUCAGCUGCUGUGACCCUCACACCUGCAGGUCAUCCUCUGACCAGCAGUGGGUCCUAUAUAAGGGCGGAGCCUCCACCUGUUCGGCGUCAGAUUGUUGUCUAACCCCUAGUGUCUCGUCCGAUUUCCUGAACCCUCGCCCGCUGCCUUGGACUCCCUGGUGACGACCUCCUGCCUGCCCGACGACUGACUCCUGGAUAGCCCCAAACCCUGACUGACGCCACGGAUCUGACCCUUGCCUGCCUGACCAAGAAUUGCCAAUAAAUACCAUCUAACCGUG